GAUGAACGCUGGCGGCGUGCCUAAUACAUGCAAGUCGAGCGAACGGACGAGAAGCUUGCUUCUCUGAUGUUAGCGGCGGACGGGUGAGUAACACGUGGAUAACCUACCUAUAAGACUGGGAUAACUUCGGGAAACCGGAGCUAAUACCGGAUGAUAUUUUGAACCGCAUGGUUCAAAAGUGAAAGACGGUCUUGCUGUCACUUAUAGAUGGAUCCGCGCUGCAUUAGCUAGUUGGUAAGGUAACGGCUUACCAAGGCAACGAUGCAUAGCCGACCUGAGAGGGUGAUCGGCCACACUGGAACUGAGACACGGUCCAGACUCCUACGGGAGGCAGCAGUAGGGAAUCUUCCGCAAUGGGCGAAAGCCUGACGGAGCAACGCCGCGUGAGUGAUGAAGGUCUUCGGAUCGUAAAACUCUGUUAUUAGGGAAGAACAUAUGUGUAAGUAACUGUGCACAUCUUGACGGUACCUAAUCAAAAGCCACGGCUAACUACGUGCCAGCAGCCGCGGGUAUACGUAGGUGGGAAGCGGUAUCCGAAUUUGGGCGUAACGCGCGUAGGCGGUUUUUUAGUCUGAUGUGAAAGCCCACGGCUCAACCGUGGAGGGUCAUUGGAAACUGGAAAACUUGAGUGCAGAAGAGGAAAGUGGAAUUCCAUGUGUAGCGGUGAAAUGCGCAGAGAUAUGGAGGAACACCAGUGGCGAAGGCGACUUUCUGGUCUGUAACUGACGCUGAUGUGCGAAAGCGUGGGGAUCAAACAGGAUUAGAUACCCUGGUAGUCCACGCCGUAAACGAUGAGUGCUAAGUGUUAGGGGGUUUCCGCCCCUUAGUGCUGCAGCUAACGCAUUAAGCACUCCGCCUGGGGAGUACGACCGCAAGGUUGAAACUCAAAGGAAUUGACGGGGACCCGCACAAGCGGUGGAGCAUGUGGUUUAAUUCGAAGCAACGCGAAGAACCUUACCAAAUCUUGACAUCCUUUGACAACUCUAGAGAUAGAGCCUUCCCCUUCGGGGGACAAAGUGACAGGUGGUGCAUGGUUGUCGUCAGCUCGUGUCGUGAGAUGUUGGGUUAAGUCCCGCAACGAGCGCAACCCUUAAGCUUAGUUGCCAUCAUUAAGUUGGGCACUCUAAGUUGACUGCCGGUGACAAACCGGAGGAAGGUGGGGAUGACGUCAAAUCAUCAUGCCCCUUAUGAUUUGGGCUACACACGUGCUACAAUGGACAAUACAAAGGGCAGCGAAACCGCGAGGUCAAGCAAAUCCCAUAAAGUUGUUCUCAGUUCGGAUUGUAGUCUGCAACUCGACUACAUGAAGCUGGAAUCGCUAGUAAUCGUAGAUCAGCAUGCUACGGUGAAUACGUUCCCGGGUCU
rnacentral:rRNA from 1 species